rnacentral:rRNA from 1 species
GACGAACGCUGGCGGCGUGCUUAACACAUGCAAGUCGAACGGAAAGGCCCUGCUUUUGUGGGGUGCUCGAGUGGCGAACGGGUGAGUAACACGUGAGUAACCUGCCCUUGACUUUGGGAUAACUUCAGGAAACUGGGGCUAAUACCGGAUAGGAGCUCCUGCUGCAUGGUGGGGGUUGGAAAGUUUCGGCGGUUGGGGAUGGACUCGCGGCUUAUCAGCUUGUUGGUGGGGUAGUGGCUUACCAAGGCUUUGACGGGUAGCCGGCCUGAGAGGGUGACCGGCCACAUUGGGACUGAGAGACGGCCCAGACUCCUACGGGAGGCAGAAGUGGGGAAUAUUGCACAAUGGGCGGAAGCCUGAUGCAGCAACGCCGCGUGCGGGAUGACGGCCUUCGGGUGGUAAACCGCUUUCGCCUGUGACGAAGCGUGAGUGACGGUAAUGGGUAAAGAAGAACCGGCUAACUACGUG